AAUAGAUACCCGGGUAGUCCACGCCGUAAACGAUGAGUGCUAGGUGUUAGGGGGUCCAACCCUUAGUGCCGAAGUUAACACAUUAAGCACUCCGCCUGGGGAGUACGGUCGCAAGACUGAAACUCAAAGGAAUUGACGGGGGCCCGCACAAGCGGUGGAGCAUGUGGUUUAAUUCGAAGCAACGCGAAGAACCUUACCAGGGCUUGACAUCCCUCUGACCGUUCUAGAGAUAGAGCUUCCCUUCGGGGCAGAGGUGACAGGUGGUGCAUGGUUGUCGUCAGCUCGUGUCGUGAGAUGUUGGGUUAAGUCCCGCAACGAGCGCAACCCUUGUCCCUAGUUGCCAGCAUUCAGUUGGGCACUCUAGGGAGACUGCCGGUGACAAACCGGAGGAAGGUGGGGAUGACGUCAAAUCAUCAUGCCCCUUAUGUCCUGGGCUACACACGUGCUACAAUGGCUGGUACAAAGGGUAGCGAAGCAGUGAUGUGGAGCCAAUCCCAAAAAGCCAGUCACAGUUCGGAUUGUAGG
rnacentral:rRNA from 1 species